GUACUGCCGAAGAGUCCCAAACUAGGACGAGACAGCUGUCCAGUAC
rnacentral:hammerhead_ribozyme from 1 species